rnacentral:rRNA from 1 species
GAAUUUUGGUCAAGGAUGGACUCGCGGCCUAUCAGGUAGUUGGUGAGGUAACGGCUCACCAAGCCGACGACGGGUAGCCGGCCUGAGAGGGUGACCGGCCACACUGGGACUGAGACACGGCCCAGACUCCUACGGGAGGCAGCAGUGGGGAAUAUUGCACAAUGGGCGAAAGCCUGAUGCAUCAACGCCGCGUGAGGGACGACGGCCUUCGGGUUGUAAACCUCUUUUAGCAGGGAAGAAGCGAAAGUGACGGUACCUGCGGAAAAAGCACCGGCUAACUACGUGCCAGCAGCCGCGGUAAUACGUAGGGUGCAAGCGUUGUCCGGAAUUAUUGGGCGUAAAGAGCUCGUAGGCGGUUUGUCGCGUCUGCUGUGAAAACGCGAGGCUCAACCUCUCGCCUGCAGUGGGUACGGGCAGACUAGAGUGCGGUAGGGGAGAUUGGAAUUCCUGGUGUAGCGGUGGAAUGCGCGGAUAUCACGAGGAACACCGAUGGCGAAGGCAGAUCUCUGGGCCGUAACUGACGCUGAUGAGCGAAAGUAUGGGGAGCGAACAGGAUUAGAUACCCUGGUAGUCCACGCCGUAAACGUUGGGAACUAGAUGUCGUGGACCAUUUCUACGGUCUCCGUGUCUCAGCUAGCGACAUUCAAGUUCCCC